UACGAAGGGGGCGAGCGUUGUUCGGAAUCACUGGGCGUAAAGGGCGCGUAGGCGGCCCUCCUUGUCGCGUGUGAAAGCCCCGGGCUCAACCUGGGAACGGCGCGCGAGACGGGGGGGCUGGAGUUCGGGAGAGGAGGCGUGGAAUUCCCAGUGUAGAGGUGAAAUUCGUAGAUAUUGGGAAGAACACCGGUGGCGAAGGCGGCGCUCUGGACCGAGACUGACGGCUGAGGCGCGAAAGCGUGGGGAGCAAACAGG
rnacentral:rRNA from 1 species